rnacentral:pre_miRNA from 1 species
UUAUUACAGUAUGGAGUUGGAAUGUUCGCCUGUUUGUCGCUAGGGACACUGUCCCAGCUGCAUACAAAUUUGAGUUA